UCCGGUUUGUCACCGGCGGUCUCCUUAGAGUGCCCAACUUAAUGGUGGCAACUAAGGACAAGGGUUGCGCUCGUUGCGGGACUUAACCCAACAUCUCACGACACGAGCUGACGACAGCCAUGCAGCACCUGUCUCCAGGUUCCCGAAGGCACUCCCGCAUUUCUGCAGGAUUCCUAGGAUGUCAAGACCAGGUAAGGUUCUUCGCGUUGCAUCGAAUUAAACCACAUGCUCCACCGCUUGUGCAGGCCCCCGUCAAUUUCUUUGAGUUUUAACCUUGCGGCCGUACUCCCCAGGCGGAUAACUUAAUGCGUUAGCUGCGUUACCAAGGAAAUUAAUCCCCGACAACUAGUAGACAUCGUUUAGGGCGUGGACUAC
rnacentral:misc_RNA from 1 species